UUUAUUGGCAAACUUUCACUAAACUUUUGGUAACGGAAAAUCUAUUUGGGAGUAUGUCUGUGGGUGAAAUUUUGCAGGCAGUUACAAUAUAAUUUCACUAUUAGAAACACCAUUAUAAACUUAUGUAAAAGCACCAAUAACAGUUGUUUUUAGAAUAGGACCAUAUCCAGUCAAAAAUAUACUGCUGGAAACUAUUUGAGAUUUGAUGAAUUAUCUACCACAAAAGUGUAAUGCCAGUAGGCAGUAAACUUGGGGCAUAGCUUAAGAAGAUAUCCAUUUCCAGUAAACUUCUCAACAUGAGCUGUUUUAAAGUAACAUGUCUAAAUCGAGGGGGCAUCAACUUCGACUAUUCACAGUGCGCCCGCUGGUUAAUAUCUAAUAGGUAUUCAGGUGAUUUUUGCGAAUAUUCACAAGAUAUUCAAAAUAUUCAUCGAUAUUCAUCGAUAUUCAUCAAUAUUUAAGGAUAUUAAUCAACAAUCACAGUGAAUAUUCUCUGGUAUUCAGUGAUAUUCACUGGUAUUCAGUGACAUUGAAUGUUUGAAUAUAUUCACAGUUCACCAAAUUUCCAAGUUGGUUCCCCCUCGGUCUAAAUAACAUGUCUGACCAACAUGAAAUUUAAACAGGGAAAGAAACAAUUUAUUUUGAAUGUUCGCGGUGCUUCUGGCGUUCGAGGCACUGUUGCCAACCAGCAUUAUUUCACACAUCAUUUAGUAGUGAGUUGGUACCCUGACAGGUUUGUUUAGAGUACUGUCCUUAAUUAAAUAUUUGAUAAAAUCCGAAGGGAAUGUUUCAUUCCAAGUUAUUGACUCAAGAACUGAAAAAAGGUUACACUACUUUAUUUUCCUGAAGAGUGGCUCGGCUGCAGCUCAUUUUCGUUGCUGUUGUUUACAAGCACCGCGCCUCUCGGAGUGAAAACAUAGUAGCCGGGUACACUAAUCUUAUUUUAUUGUACAUUUAUGGUUAUACGACUCUUUCUAGUUUAAAAUAGUGUUCCUACAGUUAACUAAAUGGUUCAAGAGCAAACCACCAUGCUCGUUGAGCGCGAAUUGCAGCACAAACGAGUACACACCAUUUGGCCUGUUCACGGGACGAAAACAUAACCUCAGAAGCCGUGUAUUUUACCACCAAAAUAUGGAUGUUUUGAACAUAUAAAUUAUUCCAUGGCUUUUCUACACUAAGUGCCUCUGCAUAGUGCUAUUUCAGUUUUUCCUAUUUUGUUUUGCGGAUCAACAACUACAUUGCUUCAAAUAUUGAAUAUUCUGAAAACUAUAUGAGGCAAGCACAUAAUGGGAAGUGAUUUUCAAGACGAUGCAAGUAGAUGAAGACAAACAGCAGUAGUACCGGACAUUUUACUACUUAAAAGAUCUGAAUCAUCUCACCUUAUUCAAUUUUAAUCUAAAGUGCAAGACAAUAAUCAGCCUGUAAGUUAUGUCUAAUAAAAAAAAGAUCAAAUAAUA